rnacentral:misc_RNA from 1 species
CGAAAGUGUCAGGGCACGUAAGCGAGUGACUUUCCAUCCGAUCAGUGAAGGAGAGAUGCAAAUAGCAGUGGCUUCUUAUUGAGAAAAAAAAUUCAAAUGAUGAAAUAUAAUACGUGAUGGAUUACUAUAAAUAAAUUAUGAUAAAUUAUGCAUUCUCUCAGCUUCAGCCUACAAAUUCUCAUCUGCCAAACAUUCCCUUUAAAUUGUUCUAUGUACAAGAAUGGAGACAUACAAGGGAAG